rnacentral:rRNA from 1 species
UACGUAGGGUGCGAGCGUUGUCCGGAAUUAUUGGGCGUAAAGAGCUUGUAGGCGGUCUGUCGCGUCUUCUGUGAAAAUCCGGGGCUCAACCCCGGACUUGCAGUGGGUACGGGCAGACUAGAGUGUGGUAGGGGAGACUGGAAUUCCUGGUGUAGCGGUGAAAUGCGCAGAUAUCAGGAGGAACACCGAUGGCGAAGGCAGGUCUCUGGGCCACUACUGACGCUGAGAAGCGAAAGCAUGGGGAGCGAACAGG